rnacentral:tRNA from 1 species
UCCUCGUUAGUAUGGUGGUCAGUAUCCCCGCCUGUCACGCGGGAGACCGGGGUUCAAUUCCCCGACGGGGAG